UCCCUGGUGGUCCAGUGGCUAAGACUCUGUGCUCCCAAUGCAGGGGGUCUGGGUUCAAUCCCCAGUCAGGGAA
rnacentral:tRNA from 1 species